rnacentral:rRNA from 1 species
ACGCUAGCGAUAGGCUUAACACAUGCAAGUCGAGGGGCAGCAUGGUCUUAGCUUGCUAAGACUGAUGGCGACCGGCGCACGGGUGCGUAACGCGUAUGCAACUUGCCUCACAGAGGGGGAUAACCCGUCGAAAGACGGACUAAUACCGCGUACACUUGGGAUAGGGCAUCCUGACCCAAGGAAAUGAAAUUCGCUGUGAGAUAGGCAUGCGUCCCAUUAGCUAGUUGGUGAGGUAACGGCUCACCAAGGCGACGAUGGGUAGGGGAACUGAGAGGUUGAACCCCCACACUGGUACUGAGACACGGACCAGACUCCUACGGGAGGCAGCAGUGAGGAAUAUUGGUCAAUGGGCGAGAGCCUGAACCAGCCAAGUCGCGUGAAGGAUGACUGUCUUAUGGAUUGUAAACUUCUUUUAUACGGGAAUAACAAGAGCCACGUGUGGCUCCCUGCAUGUACCGUAUGAAUAAGCAUCGGCUAACUCCGUGCCAGCAGCCGCGGUAAUACGGAGGAUGCGAGCGUUAUCCGGAUUUAUUGGGUUUAAAGGGUGCGUAGGCGGCCUGUUAAGUCAGCGGUGAAAUCUAGGAGCUUAACUCCUAAAUUGCCAUUGAUACUGGCGGGCUUGAGUGUAGAUGAGGUAGGCGGAAUGCGUGGUGUAGCGGUGGAAUGCAUAGAUAUCACGCAGAACUCCGAUUGCGAAGGCAGCUUACUAAGGUACAACUGACGCUGAAGCACGAAAGCGUGGGUAUCAAACAGGAUUAGAUACCCUGGUAGUCCACGCAGUAAACGAUGAUAACUGGGCGUAUGCGAUAUACAGUAUGCUCCUAAGCGAAAGCGUUAAGUUAUCCACCUGGGGAGUACGCCGGCAACGGUGAAACUCAAAGGGAAUUGACGGGGGCCCGCACAAGCGGAGGAACAUGUGG